UACGGAGGGUGCAAGCGUUACUCGGAAUUACUGGGCGUAAAGCGCACGCAGGCGGUCUGUCAAGUCGGAUGUGAAAUCCCCGGGCUCAACCUGGGAACUGCAUUCGAAACUGGCAGGCUAGAGUCUUGUAGAGGGGGGUAGAAUUCCAGGUGUAGCGGUGAAAUGCGUAGAGAUCUGGAGGAAUACCGGUGGCGAAGGCGGCCCCCUGGACAAAGACUGACGCUCAGGUGCGAAAGCGUGGGGAGCAAACAGG
rnacentral:rRNA from 1 species